rnacentral:lncRNA from 1 species
AUGGUAAUUCUAUUUUUAAUUUUUUGAGGAGCCACCAUACUGUUUUCCAUAGAGGCUGUAUCAUUUGAUAUUCCCACCAGCAGUGCACAAGGGUUCUAAUUUCUUCAUAUUUUUGCCACCAUUGUUAUUUUUAAUUUUUUUUAUAUUUCAUAGUAGCCAUCCUAAUAGGUGUGAAGUGUAAAAAUUAUUUUCUAAGACUAAAGAAUGAAGCUAUUGAGUGUCACUUGCUUAUCUUCAAGCAGUCAAUGCUUUUUUAAAAUAAUUCUUCAAAGCAGACUAUAUGUUGAAGUCAGAAGCUUCUGAUGUGUGACUUUCAGGGACUCUGAAACAGGUGUUCAUUUGGCAAUAGAAACUGAUGAAACAUUCAAAACAACUUUCUCUCCCAAACCUUAAAAAGAAAAAUUGUGACAUUAAAAAAAAUCACAAAUUGUUUUUUUCUUGUCAGUAAUGACUUACUGGUUCAUGCAGAGGUGAAUAUUGGUAGGUAAAUAAUCCCAGGACUGUAUGCUGAGAAUGAAGCUCAGAACCAGUUAAGGAAGAGCGUGUACUACCAAAGCAAAACAGGUUUUGCCUCUGGCGAGUCUGAGAAGUAGGAAUGGCUAUUUACAUACAUGUGUGGUUAGGGUCUCAGUCCUAAUCUAGUUGUGCAGCCAGAUAUAGCAUUUAACUGAGAGAAUAAUACUGCAGUGGACAUUCUUGUAGGUGACUUCUGGUGCACAUAUACACACAUCUCUAUUGUACAUGUAUUAAAUAGUGGAAUUACACAGUCUUUGAUGACAGUAGAUGUGCCGACUUUCUUUGUUUACUUCUCUAAUUCAUUCUCCAUCCUUCUCUGCUCCUCUUGUCCUGGGAGUUUGACUUCUGUCGACUACAUCAAAUGGGCUCCUUUGUCCUCUAUCUUCUGUUGGGUUAAGCAAAUGAGAGUCACCACAAGGAAGCCUGAGAGUAGGAGGAGAGAGCUUGGGGAGUUUUUUUCUCCAGCUUUCUCUCUUUGGUCAUGGGUUGGCAGUGACUUUUUCCCUCCAUGGAAGGCCACAGCUCCUAUUGUUUAUCCUCUCCUGUGUUCACAGCUACCGGUGCUGCGUGACUGCUACCUCCCUUGCCCUUGUAGGCCUGAGGGUAGUAAUGGCUUCCUGUUCUUGCUAGCCUGGGGGACUUCCUCACCCUUUGGUUUUUACUAAAUUCUACCUUUACCGUUGUAAAUUCUUUCAUUAAAUUUUGUUCACUUACCUAUUUGAAUAUGCUAUAUGCCUCUUAUUACAGCCCUGAUGGAUAAAUAAGGAUGUUUUUUAAACUCCAGCUGUGUGUGAGAGUUCUUAUUGCUCCACAUCUUCACCAACAUUGUUAGUCUUUGUUUUAGACAUUCUGAUGUAUCUGUGGUGUUAUUUCAUUCAGGUUUUAAUUUGUACUUCCUGCUUUACUAAUGAAGUAGAAGACCUUUUAAUGAG